rnacentral:rRNA from 1 species
GACGAACGCUGGCGGCGUGCUUAACACAUGCAAGUCGAACGGAAAGGCCUGCUUUCCCUUGUGGAUUGCGGGUACUCGAGUGGCGAACGGGUGAGUAACACGUGAGUGAUCUGCCCCCAACUUGGGUAUAAGCCUGGGAAACUGGGUCUAAUUCCCGAUAGGACUGCAGGGUGGUGCCUGUGGUGGAAAACGAUUUUCUAGUGGUUGGGGAUGAGCUCGCGGCCUAUCAGCUUGUUGGUGGGGUAAUGGCCUACCAAGGCGGGGACGGGUAACCGGCCUGAGAGGGUGGACGGGCACAGUGGGACUGAGAUACGGCCCAGACUCCUACGGGAGGCAGCAGUGGGGAAUAUUGCACGAUGGGCGGAAGCCUGAUGCAGCGACGCCGCGUGGGGGAUGACGGCCUUCGGGUUGUAAACUCCUUUCGACCGCGAGGAAGCCACCUGGUUGGAAGGGUGGUGACGGUAGUGGUAGAAGAAGCACCGGCUAACUACGUG